rnacentral:rRNA from 1 species
CGGGGCUAAUGCUGGAUAACAUUUAGAACCGCAUGGUUCUAAAGUGAAAGAUGGUUUUGCUAUCACUUAUAGAUGGACCCGCGCCGUAUUAGCUAGUUGGUAAGGUAACGGCUUACCAAGGCAACGAUACGUAGCCGACCUGAGAGGGUGAUCGGCCACACUGGAACUGAGACACGGCCCAG